CUGGCUCAGAACGAACGCUGGUGGCGUGUCUAUACAUGCAAGUCGAGCGAGGCAGCAAUGCCGAGCGGCGAACGGGUGAGUAACGCGUAAGCAAUCUGCCCCAUAUCAGGAAAUACCCGUGCCAACGCGCGGUUAAUGUCCAGGAGAGUGGCCCCCUGCAUGGAGGGUUGACUAGAGAUUUAUCGGUAUGGGAUGAGCUUGCGUCCGAUUAGCUAGUUGGCGGGGCAACGGCCCACCAAGGCGACGAUCGGUAGCCGGCCUGAGAGGGUGAUCGGCCACAUUGGGACUGAGAUACGGCCCAGACUCCUACGGGAGGCAGCAGUAGGGAAUAUUGCACAAUGGGGGAAACCCUGAUGCAGCAACGCCACGUGUGGGGAAGAAGCAUUUCGGUGUGUAAACCACUGUCAUGAGGGAAUAAGGCCCGCCUUCGGACGGGAUUGAAUGUACCUUGAGAGGAAGCACCGGCAAACUUCGUGCCAGCAGCUGC
rnacentral:rRNA from 1 species